GUCCUGGUUCUGGCGGCUGAGGGCCGGGUGGCGCAGGCGGCCUCCGGCUGUGCCCAUGGGAACUAAAACCUUCGGUUCUAGAAGAGCCGGGGGAGAGGCUCCGGGAAGACCGAAUUCUUCAGAAAUCGCAGAGAGACCUUGGACCGGAUCCUUCCCUGCAGGGCUGCGUCGGGGAAGCGCCGGCACAAGUAUAUUCAGCGACUUCCUUGGAAGCGCCUACGUUAGAAUACUACAAACUUACAAGCUAGUUGAUCAGUUUACCUCCCACUAGAAAAGACAGUAUGGGAAGGCAGAGGCCGCGUGGCCUGGACCCCCGUCUUUGCUGUCAGGCUUCCAGAGUGAAGGUGGGGCUCAUAUUCAGACUAGUUCCUGGUCCAUUCAUUCUUUCAGUCAGUCAGUCAGUCAUUCCUACAGGGCCAGAAACUUUUUUUUUUUUUGAGACAGAGUUUCGCUCUUGUUGCCCAGACUGCUCACCGCAACCUCCGUCUCCUGGGUUCAAGAGAUUCUCCUGCCUCAGCCUCCCGAGUAGCUGGGAUUACAGGCAUGUGCCAGCACACCUGGCUAAUUUUUGUAUUCUUAGUAGAGACGGAGUUUCUCCAUGUUGGCCAGGCUGGUCUCGAAUUCCCGACCUCAAGUGAUCUGCCCGCCUCGGCCUCCCGAAGUGCUGCAAUUACAGGCGUGAGCCACCGCGCCCGGCCCAGAAACAUGUUUUGAAGGGCAGGCACCGCACAGGGUGCUGGAGACAGACUGAAGGAAACUGCACCUCUCAGUGACUCAAGAGAGAUUUGUUGAGUAUCUACCAAGUGCCUAGCGCUGUUCUUGUCCCUGGGGAUUCAGCCUCUGGAUUGGGACCUGCAGCCCAGAGAAGGGAAAUGGGGGAAAUCCAAGUUCCCAGGUACAUCAUGAUACCCUUCCAGCCUCUCCUUCCUGGAAAUUGCCAUCACCAGCGGCCAUAGCACCCCCAUGGGACCUGGGGGAUGGAGUUGGAAGCCCCCUCCGGCAACACUGGCCAGAUUGGAGAGACCAGCAGGGAAGCUCCCUCCUACCCCCAGGGAGGCUGAAGCCAGCUCUCCAUGGGCACGAAACCUGGAACCCAGGACCCUGGGGGGCAGCUGCACGGUAUUCCAGCACAAGGAUGUAUGGUAAUUUACAGAUGCACUUCUUGGCAGAGGGACCUUCAGGUUGCUUCCAGCCCUUUCUCAAGACAGGCCGUGCCGCAGUGAGUCAUCUGUACAAAAGCCCUUUCACACAUGCACGAGCGCUGCUGCGGAAUACAUUCCCAGAAGGGACUUGGGAGGACUGGGGGGCAAAAGAUACAUGCAGUGGUGUCUUAUUAUUGUUAUUUUAGAGACAGGGUCCUGCUCUGUCACCCAGGCUGGAGUACAAUGUACAAUGGUGUCAUCAUAGCUGACUGCAGCCUCGACCUCCUGGGCUUAAGCCAUCCUCCCGCCUUGGCCUCCUGCGUGGCUGGGACUACAGGCACGCACCACCGUGCCCAGCUUGCAGUGGUCAUUUUGUCAGCUCUGUCAGCUUGUCCUUCUUGGAGACUGUGCCAGGUACCAGGCCCCCACACAGUCAACAGGGCUGUUUCUCCUCAGGCUCACCAGCCCCUGGUUUCCACCUAUUUUGAUUUUUGUCCAUCUGAAAGGCAAAAACUAAACAAAACAAAGGAAUUUGGGUGUA
ensembl:lncRNA novel transcript, antisense to POLA2